UACGUAGGGUGCGAGCGUUGUCCGUAAUUAUUGGGCGUAAAGAGCUCGUAGGCGGUGUGUCGCGUCGGCCGUGAAAACCUGGGGCUUAACUCUGGGCGUGCGGUCGAUACGGGCAUCACUGGAGUUCGGCAGGGGGAGACUGGAAUUCCUGGUGUAGCGGUGAAAUGCGCAGAUAUCAGGAGGAACACCGGUGGCGAAGGCGGGUCUCUGGGCCGAUACUGACGCUGAGGCGCGAAAGCUAGGGGAGCAAACAGG
rnacentral:rRNA from 1 species